GAUGAAGAACGUAGCGAAAUGCGAUAAGUAGUGUGAAUUGCAGAAUUCAGUGAAUCAUCGAAUCUUUGAACGCACAUUGCGCCUUCCGGUAUUCCGGAAGGCAUGCCUGUCCGAGCGUCAUCAAAAACCACUCAAGUAAUUUUGCUUGGUUAUGAAAGAAGAGUUUGCUUGCAAAUUCCCUUUCGAAAUUCAAUGGCGGAGGGUCUCAUGAUUCCGGCGUAGUAAUAACUUAUUCGCUUGGUCAUUGUGACAAUCCUGCCUCAAACCCCCAAUUCUAGUGUUUGACCUCGGAUCAGGUAGGGAUACCCGCUGAACUUAAGCAUAUCAAUAAGCGGAGGA
rnacentral:misc_RNA from 1 species